ACAGGUGCUGGACUCAUCUAACCGUGGUCAUGUCAGAAAGACAACUAUUUUCUGCACUAUCUGAUGGAGAAGUAAGCUCUGAUGGACAUGACAGAGGAAUUGAUGUUUCCGAUGUCCCUGUAGAAAAGAGUAGCCUGACAUAAAAGAUGGAUCCCAGAGGACUGAACAAACAAACUGAAUAGUCAGAGGAGCUGACAGACCAGCUGUCACUCCACAGAGAGGCCAGUGAAGGAGAAGAAUAAAGCUGUGGAGUGCAAAGGAUUUGACUGGACCUGGAGGAUCAGGUGGCAGUGAUAAAGAGUAAACAAAAGAAGACACAUAAUAAAAACAGUCUUUCUAACUUUUCAUUGUUUCUGCUGUAAACAACAUUAGCUGCAGACUUUGGUGAGAAGCACAGUCUUCUGAGGAAGUAGAAGGGGAAGAAACCAAAUUCAGCUGUGAGAAGAGAGAUGAAGGGAUAACCAAGAGUUUGGUUGCUCUUCAUAUUUUGACCAAGCACAAAGUCACUCUGCUAAGCAUCUAAGAAACUGAAAAGAUUGGAAUUCUUAUAUGUUGAUGAGAAUAUCUUCUUUAUCAUAUUAUGCUGAGAUAUCUGUUCUAUGUCAAAAUUAAAAAUAAGUAUUUACUACAAAAAUCCGUGUGUCUGUUUUCACAGAUGCAACCUAGCAAUUUUAAAUCAAUUAUUCUAUUUUACUCAGCUUUAUUCCACUUUUGAUUUAUAUAUCUGAUAUAGGAUUUUUCUGCUUGGGGCAAAAAAUUAUACUAUGUCAGAUUUUCUCUAUACAGAUAACUUACACAUUUUCAGUAAAUUCAGGUCUUUGCUGAAUUGGAACAAUGCCUUUGAAGGAACCAAACUACAGGAAAAUUGCUCUAUUUCUUUUAAUUGGCAGGGCAAAAGUAGCUGAAUAAAACAGCUCUGAAGCACUGCCCAGCACAAAACAGAGCCCACGAGCACAAGUGCACAUAAAGAGGUAACAGAGAGUUAAUGGGUCCAUGGGUAGCAGCACCCAUGGUUUAGCAGUGCCUGGAGAAGUGAAACAGCAGCUCCCACAGGUGCUCCUGCCCCUUCAUUCCAAGGCACACUGGAAGCAAAGAACAAUGUCUUUGUUGGCCACCACAUUUUACAGAGGUGACCAAGUGACUUGUCUGAUUUCUUCCUCUGUGUUUGAAGCUGCCUUGCGUGCACGGUGCUCUCCUGGGACAUUUGUGGACUCUGGGGCCUGGAGACUUCAUUCUGACUUGUCUACACCAGGAACUAAAAAGGUUUCAGUCUUCCUGUAAAGUGAAGGUGCACCUUGAACUUGAGAGCACAUCUGCAACUUUGUUAUAAUAACCAGAUGUCAAGUCUUAUCACAUGUUAAAUGUGAUGGCUUACUGUGAAAGAAAGCAAUAAAUGGUGACUUCUUUCUGCAAACCAAAGUGGUGGUAUAUUAAAGAUGGCAAAGUCACUUAAAAUAAGCUAUCUGCUGUUUUGCUUAGAGUAAGAAUUCAUUUGUGGCAAAUAACUGCAGAAUAGCUUCUGUUUACAUCUACUCCAACCCUGUUUUGUAGACUAAUAUCCUCUAGUCAUUCUGUUGUUAUUUUAGAGGUCUAAGUUUUAAUUGGCAUAUUCUGCCUUUACAGUAAAUUUUCACAUGAUGAAUUGCAGAGAUGUAACUAUACUAGAAAUGUCCUGCAGGUAGGAAAAGUUUCCUUUUUCUAGGUCAGACAACUACACUAUCCCACUGGAAAAAACCCACUGGUAAAACACCUAUCUAUUAUUCAUCAGGUUGCAGAUUUUGCUACUUUUUCUUAAGAGCUUUCCCUAAUCUAGAUAGUUAAUGUCAGAGCUAACAAAAAUGAGUUCAUAAAAACCACACAGAUAAAGUGAACACUCUCUGAAAUCAAUUAAAAACUGAGGGGUGUUACAGGUGUCUGGAUCUGAGAGUAGUACAAGGUCUGCUCUCCCUUAAUUUCUUUUGACUUGUUUCUUCCAGAAGAGGAUAUGAUACUAUUCUCACUGCAGUCCCACUUGCCAACAAGGAGAUCCAGGUAAUCCUCAAGCUGCUGAGUCAAUAUGUGGUUAUAGAGAAAACUAUUUCUUGAAUAUGAGAGAUUGUAUGUCCACUGGGAAAGCUCUUUUUCAGACAUAUCUCUCAAGCAAAACAAAACAAAACUAUUUCUCAUAAGUCACAUUUUAUUAACCUCUAGCUGUUCUUGGUCUUCUCUCUCAACUUCUCUGUACCUUUUUUAAUAAUCCUACUGAGGCUGAACACAGACUUGUUUUUCAGGACUCACCAGCACAUGUUUUCUGCAAUAGCACAGUUUUUCCAGUCUUUCACAAAAGAGCCUCAUUUUUUAUCUGCUACACAGGUAGACCUCCAUUUAUAUUAAUGAAAAUGAUGACUCAUUCCCAGCUACAGCUUUUUACAUGUCUGUAAUGAAUUCCCUAUUGUUAUUUUUGAAUCACUUCUUAAGUACAUUCAAUUUGAUUUGUGGUUUUGUAUUCCAACAGGGUUUGAAAGCGUUUGAAACUCAGUAACAUCAGAAAUUUUAAUUUCCACAGCAUCUCUGGAGAUACAGCAGUUGCGUAGUGGGAUUUCUUCAAGGUCACUUAGUUCAUCAGGAAUUCAUCUCACAAGGAGAUGUAGGUUAUGGCAUCCUCAGUAGUUACAAUAAGCAUAGCUUUUUCAUGUUUCUGAUACCUUCAACCAUGAAGGGGAUGGUGAAAAAAUAACAGGUCACGUUCUUAGCUGAACUGUAUGUUUGGUAUGUUUCUAAUGCCUCUGUCACAGCAAACUGCUAGACAGAAUUAGAUCUUUACUGUCUCACACACUACAGCUGUCUGUAUUUUGAUGCCAUCAAUUAUACGGCAAGUUUUAUUUGCAUAAAAAGAUAAACACAGCCUACUGAUCAGGUACUGUAUGGUGCAAUCAAUAUGAACUACCCCUCAGCCCAAAGAAAGUAACUCAUAGAAGAUCAAAUGGGAUCUUCCUGUGGAACAAAUCCAGGAGAAGCAUUUUUUUACCAAGUCAUCAAAGGCAGACAUAUGAAUCACCAUAUCCAUUUCAGUUACUGGAUUGUGUGCAAUCACUCACUAGCAAACACUCAAACUUUUCAACCUUGGUAUCCAGUGACUGACCUCACAGAAAGCCAGCAGUAGGUCAGAGAGGGGAACUGUGUCACCUUUGCAGUCUCAAUGGCAGUGCAUGCAGAUUAGCCAGUUCUGGGGUCAGUCUGUCAGAUCAGCUUGGCUGUGGUAUGCGUUACUAACUUGAAAGGAGCAUUCUGAUACUUUGUGGCAUUUAGGAUACAGAGCAUAUCACAACUUCAGCACAAAUGUGUAAGAAAUCACUUUUAUAAAUAAGUUCUAGGGUUUUCAAGUUGUAUUAGCAUACAAACUUCAGAGGUUAUUAAAACAUUCACAUUCUCAGCACAAUAUACUUUAUUGUGGUGUAAAAUACAAGUAAGCAGCAAAGUGUUGUAGUGCUUGUCAAAACCUGUCUCUUAUUACCUGAGGGUAAUAUGGAGACAGUACCUGCAAAUUUCCUCCUUGUACAACUACUUCAUAUCUUGUUUGCUUACAGAGUAAGUUGUGCAAUGCCAUUCUGUUGCCAGAAAAAUUAGAGAACAGUUUCUUGAUGUAAAGCAAGUUCCAGUUCAUAAGUAUUUGAAAUUUUAUGAUACAGCUAUCAAAAGCUUGUUUUUCUGUCCAGAAUUAAUGGUCCAGUUAGCAAAUAUUUCUGCAACCAGAAGAAAUGAGUGUAUCUAUGAUGCAUUUA